rnacentral:rRNA from 1 species
AUACGUAGGGGGCAAGCGUUAUCCGGAUUUACUGGGUGUAAAGGGAGCGUAGACGGGCGUGCAAGUCUGAAGUGAAAGCCCGGGGCUCAACCCCGGAACUGCUUUGGAAACUGUAUGUCUAGAGUGCAGGAGAGGUAAGUGGAAUUCCUAGUGUAGCGGUGAAAUGCGUAGAUAUUAGGAGGAACACCAGUGGCGAAGGCGGCUUACUGGACUGUAACUGAAGUUGAGGCUCGAAGGCGUGGGGAGCAAACAGGAUUAGAUACCCUGGUAGUCCACGCGGUAAACGAUGAAUACUAGGUGUCGGGAGAGAAACUCUUUCGGUGCCGCAGCAAACGCAAUAAGUAUUCCACCUGGGGAGUACGUUCGCAAGAAUGAAACUCAAAGGAAUUGACGGGG